rnacentral:lncRNA from 1 species
AAAAUUAAUUAUUACAGUUUAGGGACAUGUAGUAAACUGUUCAGUUCAAGUAAGGUGGCAAUGUAUGUCUUAGCUAUGAUGGUGCACCCAAUGCUCAUCCUUUCCUUCAGUUUUAAGAUCAAGACCACAUAGUUUAGUGUCCCUUAUUUUUCACUUGCUUAUGUUGAUCUCUCUUUUAUAGGGAUUGCCUGGACCUGAAGGACCGUCAGGUUUACCUGGAGCACUUGGGCCUAAGGGCAACAAAGGUGAACAAGGUCCACAAGGGAAACUAGGAGCUGCAGGCGUUAAGGUAAAUGUGGCUAAUUUCCAGUUUAUAAUAACAUUAGAUAUGGAACGCUCUUCUUUCGUUCACAUGAAGAUAAAUACAGUUAUAUCCAGUUU